AAGCUAAUAAUAAUAAAAUUAUGACUAAUUACUUAUACAUCUAUGAUACAAAAUUUGGAUAUAUAUUUCGGAAAGAAAUUGUUUUCAAAAGAAUCAAACAAGAGAUUUUCAUCUAAAUGAUUAUUACAAUAAGAACCCUAUAUAUUCUUUUUUUUUAAAACAAAAAACUAAUUUAUUUUAAUAGCAAGAUCACUAAAAUAUCUACUAUGCAAAUAAUUCAAUACUAAUAGUUCAUUUGAAAUCAUCUAUAUAUAUCAAGAACACAAUCUUCAAGCCAACUGUAAUAAAAGAGUUAAGUUAAAACACAAUCUUCAAGCCAACCAUCUUCCACAACAAAACAAAAUUAAUGUUGUUUUGUUAAGAAAACUCUAACAUAUACUCUCGUUAACUAAAACAUUACUUGUGAGUUGAGAGCAUCAACCCAUAAAUACAAUUUACAAAUACAAACUCAUCAUAGUCCACAAGUUCACUAUUGCAACUGUUGCUAUAAAGUAAACUUUGAAACUGAUGUCCCUUAUCAAUUUUGUCACAGUAAAAUAAUAACCAGAUAACAAUUUAAAAUAAAAUAAAAUAAAUAGCUGUUGUUACAAACAAUUAAAGACAUUUAAUGCUUCUUGGUGAUGCAGCUCCACUCCUCAUUCAUUUGUGG
rnacentral:lncRNA from 1 species